GACGAACGCUGGCGGCGCGCCUAACACAUGCAAGUCGAACGGACGGGCCAUGGCUUUGUUUGUUGCUCGAGUGGCGAACGGGUGAGUAACACGUGAGUAACCUGCCCUAGACUUUGGGAUAACUUCUGGAAACUACUGCUAAUACCGCAUAGGAGCUCCACCCGCAAUGGGGGGGAGGGAAAGGUUGGGCGCCUGGGGGUGGUCUCGCGGCGUAUCAGCUUGUUGUUGGGGUAGUGACUUACCAAGGCUUUGACGGGUGGUCGGCCUGGGAGGGUGAGCGGCCACAUUGGGACUGAGAUACGGCCCAGACUACUACGGGAGGCAGCAGUGGGGAAUAUUGCACAAUGGGCGGAAGCCUGAUGCAGCAACGCCGCGUGCGGGAGGACGGCAUUCGGGUUGUAAACCGCUUUCGCCUGUGACGAAGCGUGAGUGACGGUAAUGGGUAAAGAAGUACCGGCUAACUACGUG
rnacentral:rRNA from 1 species